rnacentral:rRNA from 1 species
GACGAACGCUGGCGGCGUGCUUAACACAUGCAAGUCGAACGGAAAGGCCCUGCUUUUGUGGGGUGCUCGAGUGGCGAACGGGUGAGUAACACGUGAGUAACCUGCCCUUGACUUUGGGAUAACUUCAGGAAACUGGGGCUAAUACCGGAUAGGAGCUCCUGCUGCAUGGUGGGGGUUGGAAAGUUUCGGCGGUUGGGGAUGGACUCGCGGCUUAUCAGCUUGUUGGUGGGGUAGUGGCUUACCAAGGCUUUGACGGGUAGCCGGCCUGAGGGGGUGACCGGCCCAUUUGGGACGGGAAUACGGCCCGACUCCCUCCGGGAGGCAGAGGGGGGGAAUAUGCCCAAAGGGCCGGACGCCUGUGCAACAAACCCCCGGUGGGGGAGACCGGCCUUCGGGUUGAAACCCCUUUUCCCCGGUGACGAAGCGUAAGUGACGGUAAUUGGUAAAGAAGCCCCGGCUAACUACUG